AGCCCCGGAGCCCUUUGGGGCUCUUUUUCAAACUUGCAUUUUGAUGUGGAUCACUUCGAGGCUUU
rnacentral:tRNA from 1 species